GGGGACGACCAUGCACACAGCGUGCUCCCCUUCCCGGGGGCCAGCACCGCAUUCCUGCUCUUGCCCUCGCAGUGGCCCUGGGGGACAGCCUGAUGGUGUCCCCACCUGAGCUCAGCGACACCAAGCAGUUUGCUGAAAGAUGCAGCGCCAACUCUGCCUUCAGAGCAGCAGGGACUUUUCACAACUCCGGAAAAGGGUUCCCAGCGACUCCAAGGCUGGAAGAUGAUGACUCCGUUCCCAGCCCCGCAGCCCACCAGCGUGGCAGUGGACAAGCCACCCAAGACCAUAGACGAGAAAGGCCACAGACCAUCGGGAAUGUCUCUUCGGCUCAAGAUAAUUUUCAGCAAAAUGGUCAGAAUACAAAGGGUCUGGGUAUCUUCCUGGUUGAUUGUGGAAGAUCAGCCUGGUCACAUGGGCGGCAGCCGAGCGAGGGACAGAGUCUGAGACACUCACCCCACGACGUGGAAGACACCUGGUGACCGUCUGGCAGAAGAAUAAGUCCACAAGAGUUUCCAGAGAUAAGGCCAUCCCACCUUCCUCCUGGUGCAGAGAGAGACAACCCCCCAAAGAUGGAGACUUCCUUCACAAAUGCAAACGUAUCUCAAAGGGCAAGCAAAUUCCACUCCUUGGAGCCUGCUUCUCAUCUGCAGUCUUAAAAUUAACCAGCCUAAAAUCCUCAUCACUAUUAAGAAAGAGAAAAAAGUGGAAAACACAUCCUGUGCUCCUAGUAUUUUUUUUUUUCACUUUUCUAUUUCCUGUUAAAGCUGAG
rnacentral:lncRNA from 1 species